CCCUUAGAUGUUCUGGGAUGCACGCGCGUUACACUGAUUCGUUCAACGAGUUUAUGACCUUGCCUGAUGAGGUGGGGGAAUCUUUUCAAAUCGCAUCGUGAUGGGGAUAGAGUAUUGUAACUGUUAGUCUUCAACGAGGAAUUCCUAGUAAGUACGUGUCAUCAGCUCGUACUGAUUAUGUCCCUGCCCUUUGUACACACCGCCCGUCGCUCCUACCGAUUGAGGGCUCAGGUGAAUAGUAUGGACUGCAUCAGUGUUCGGUCUCCGAAUGUUGACGCGAGAAAUUCUGUGAAUCUUAUUGCUUAGAGGAAGGAGAAGUCGUAACA
rnacentral:rRNA from 1 species